ACGCCAAUUGAUCCGCCAUAUUGAUUAUUUUUAUUGCGCAUUAGUAAGGAACUGCUUUAGUGACUAACAAAAAAGCGUUCGUUAACGUUUUGUAAUGGGACUUAUUGUUGAGAAUUCUAUUUUGCCUUGUUGAUUGGUUACAAAUGACUGUUGUGACGUGAAUUUAGCAAUUUAUUUGAGCAUUUUCCGGGCUUUUUCAUGCAAUUCCGCGACAUUUUUCAUGGACUGGCCAUCCUUCUUCGUUAACCGGGGUAAAACUAACGAAGCGGCCCAAAAAUCAUCAGCAUCAGCGCAGCUUCCGAUUGCGCAAACUUUAUUGCCAACUGCGCCACCCCCAUUAGUACCAAACGAUAAAUCUAAAAAUUCUAAAACUCCAUUACCUCAAAUUGUUUAUGCGAGCUCAUCACCGUGUAUUAAAAUCAUUGAUGCAGCUUUCAAAGCAGCAUGUUGCUCUCAAAGUAUUUUUUUCUCGUUUUGUAUCCUCAUGAUCAUGUUUGCUUUCAUGAUGUGGUUAAGCGCAACUUUUGUUCCACCUGAAGUACAUCAAGAAGUUAAUCAAGCAACACCAAGCUCCAGACGAGGGCAGGAUCGUGAUAGAGUUCGAUUUGUCUCUUCAAACGAAGUUGAUAAUUUUUGAAAAUUCCAUUAAGAUAUUGUUUCAUGAUAAAGAAAAAAAAAAUAGAAAAACCUAACCUUUAAAAGCAUUGAAAUUGAUAUAGGAUCCAAAGUUGAAUAUCACAUACACCUGAGAGAUACGAUUGGAAGCCUAUCAGCAAUACAACCAACAAGCACUAAAGAAUGUGAGUGUGUUCAAUUUAUGGUUUCAUAGAGCAAUCAAAAUGAUUAAAAAUUAUUUUGAGCAACAUUCUAUGAUAUAAAAAUUAUCGUCAGUAUAUAUUCAACCAGGUAGGAUUAAUUCGAGUAAAUUUCAAUGGUGCGAUGUUAAAAUGGUUUUUUUGUCCAAGUUCAAUUACACUGAAGUACUGAAAAUUAUGCAGGAUCACAGUUUGUGACUACUGAACGAAGCUUAGAUAAAAUUUACAUCAAACACGAUUGAGGUUUCCUUUAUCUGGGUAACAACAUCAACGUUGGACGAGGUCAAUCUACAACGGAACUUUAUUCUCACCAUCAUGAACGAGACGUUCAUAUCUCCGAUGGAAAUUAGUUCGCCAGUUCCCAAACACGAUUUUGACCCUGGUCAUUCAUGAGAGACAUUCCUUGUGCCCCCCUUCUCCUACUUCAUUUCAACCACUAAUUCAAGUCGCUUUUCUACUCAUCGUUGAGAAGUUGCAGCUUCAAGAUCUUCGAGAACGAUGACAGGGCGUUCAUAUCGACCCAUGUCAGCUGCAUAGCACUUGGGGUAUACAUCCAGCUGGUAUUGAGCAGUCAUUUUAUUAUAAAACAUUUCUUCAUUAAGAAAACAAUUAUAUGCAAGAUCGUCAUUCUCACUAUUAAGAGAACUCUACAUCAACUGAAUUAAACUCCACAAAUUCUCGAGAUCCAGGAUCACAGAAGCAUCGAUUAUGAACCAUUUCAGGAAUUAAUUCGUUUUUAAUAAAUUCUAUACUUGUUUGUUGAACUUUCUCCAUUAUUCUAAUUUUUAAUAAAGUUGAGAAUAAACUGCAAGAGAGAAACUAAAGUAGUAUCAAAUACUUAGCAACGAUAAAAAAUAAUUGCGUCUUAUUAAUGUUUAAUCGUUUUAAAACUUACUUAAAACAAUCAACUUGACUUUCAUGAUAAACUAUGUUAAUAGCAAUUAAUAAUUUAUAAUUUGAUAAAUGAUAAAUAACGACUUACAUCCGGUUUUUGUAUGGUUUU